AAGAAAAGAAAGAAAAAAGAAAAAAAAAAGAAAGCAAGUUCAUCCGAGAGUGAUCCAUCGGAGAGUGAACUUGAUUUUUUCUCCGAGUCUUCAGUCUGAAGAAGACUCAGAGGAACCAAGAAGGAAACAACCCACCAGAACGGCCAAAAAGUAAAAUGGAAUCAAGAAAAAGGAAGCAGCUUUUAGAGGAUUCCACUUCAGAAAGUGAAAAUGAAUCCAAUGAUGAGACGCAAUCCAAAAAGAGAAAGCACAUUGUUGAGGAUUCGUCUUCUGAAGAACAAAUUCAAUCCUAUGAUGGGUAA